UAAUAAUGUAAUAUUUAUUUAUAAGUUAUAUAGUGUACAAUGAAAAGAUAAAUACAGAAAAGUUACGUUUCUCGGUUUCCACUUGGAAUGCAAGUCAAAGUGCUCCAGGUACUUUUUUCACGCGAGAUGAAAAUUGCAAUUCUUACAAACCGUAAAUAAGUUAAGCCUUCGGCACACGAUACGAUUUUUCAUGCUAAAUUGCAUACGAGACGUCCUGAUUGGCUCGGAUGAUUAUAUUACCAAUUAUAAACCAAUCGUAAAACGCCUCGUAUGCGUGCUAACAUGAAAAAUCGUAUCGUAUGCCGAAGGCUAUACUUUCAAACGCGAAAAAUAUCGUACGUACUUGAUAAGGAGGGUGAGAGAUAAGGGCGUUCGUGACCAGUCCUUGAUAUCCCAGCCCAUAGGACGACCCCGACCGUAUCCGGGAGGCUUAGGCGGGCUCUCGCUCGCAUACUCAGGUGUUCGCUCUCAUAGGCUCGGGACGUUUGAGUGUUUGACGUUCGCAUUACAGCGAAACCCACUCGUUGCCCUUAGCAUACGUAGCGUGCGUGAGUGCACGCGUGUACGUAUACGAAUGUACAAAGCGGAGUCCGCGCGCUUCAAACGCGUGACGAAUGGGCAUUCUCCGGAGUCCGGGCAGGUUUGCCCAGCAUCCCUUCCAAUGAAAUGCGAUGAAAUGCAAAUAUGGGAAGAAACCGGGGAAAUAAUGGUUCACCGAGCCGCUUUGUAUCAACGCGGCCGCACGAGAGAGAACGGAAUUCGCGUCGAGGAAAGCGCGAUGGUAACUGUCCGAUUUCGUCCGAGGGAAACUCAAACAAAUGUCGCGCAAAAAAAAUCGUAUCCCUGUAAAUACAAUUGCACGGGAAAACCAGCUAAAUUUAAUCGCUGUUUCUUUCUUACUGAUUUAUUGCGAUUGCUAUAUUUGAGAUAUUACUUUCAGAAAUAAAUAAAUCAUUCGAAGAAGGAAAGAGAGCGAGGUUUUUCACGAUGCUUUUGACACUUAAAAUUGUUUUUAUGAUACGCACUCAUUUUUCCACGCGAUGAUUACCGCAGUGAAAAAAUAAAAAAUAUCCGCGAACCGAUACCGAAUCUAAAAUCGUAAAAAUUCGACGCGUCAAAACAAAGCACUUUGUAUAAUUUUUUUCAAUCGCGUGUUAAUUUACUGCUCGACGCGCUGCGUAUCGAGAAUUAAGUGAUUCGUCGGGGAUCAGGGGGGAGCGAGCUUGCGUAAGGUAACGGCGACGCGUUUAGGAAAAAAAAAAAGGAGAACACGUCGAAAUUUCGGCGCCCCUCCUAGGAAAUCCACGCACGGCUUAUCCCGGCUUAUUCCGGCUUAUCCCAAUCAUUUCUGCCCCGCUCGGCUCCUUCCUGGUGCCAAUUACGUCAAAUCAACGUCACGAUACAAUGGCACAUGCGUGCGUGUGUGCACGCACGUCGAGGAUAUCGCGCGCGGGUACGCAAUAUCGGGACACGAGGCGGCGCGUACUGGAGGGACCUUCCUGGGCUAUUCAGUUUUUAAUUUCCUGCCCUGACCCCGGGAUUAAAGGGCCGAGUGCCCUGUUAGGUCGAGCCUCCGAUCGAGAUCCUCGAGUCGCGAUCAUUGCGAGAAAGGAUACCGAUUGAUUUCGGUACAUUUAUUUUUUAUGCGAGGAAUUAUUAUUUUAACUUGUUUUUUUAGGCAAGAUUCGUAUGAUUGGAAAAUUUUAUUAUUUGGAGGAAUUAUGUGUGUUGAGUAGUAAAAUAUGUUUUUAAAAAUAUAUCUUUGAUUCAUAUCAAAGAAUUUGUAGAACGGAUUAAAAAAUUGGAGACGAGACGUUUGAUCUUCCUCUCAUCUGUGACAAAUCAUUUCCGCCAAAGUAAUUUGAAUACGCGUACGCAAAAGUAAUAAACUUUAUACGAAAAGGGCAUCAACUCCGCGAUUUUUUAACAAUACGUUCUCCGUUAAAAUAAAACGUUUCUCGUGAUUGACGCAGCGAUUUAUAUCGGGCCGGCGGAGAUGACAUCGAGUCUCUCGAGCUAUUGAAAUGAACGCUCGCAUACGAAACGUGCGCGUGGCGCGUACGUUUCUCGUUCUCGUUCACGUCCUAAUGACCGGCUGUCAAUUUCCUUUCCACGGGCGCAACGGGGAUGAAUGGGACGCUUUCGGGCAGUUCGUUUGCAGGCGGGGGUGGUAGCUUGCACGAUGCCAUUGUGAUGCCCGCGCUCGUUCGUUCGUGCCGUUCCACCCGGUAGGGUCAAUAUUGUACGAGCGACGGAGCGUAUCCCCGUGUCUUUCUGUUUGCAUUCGUGCGCUUGUGUAGUACAGAAGAACGGAGAGAAUGAGAGAGGGCAGGUCCGCGAAAUUAGCGCCAAUUAGAUUCGUAUGGCACCGCGUGCCGUCCCUCGCAAGGUGCGGGGGGCACCUUUUGGCGAACGAUACACACGUUACCCUCUAUUACCUUCUCGAAAAUCGCCAAACGAAACGAAACUGUUUGAACUGGAAGAGCAAACAUCCCACAAUCGGACCGGAAACUUAAACUCUGAUUUUAUUUUUCCCCGGCAUUUUAAAAUAGUUAUUUACCUUCUUCGUAAAUUGCUUCUUCGAAAUUUCGAGUCUCAUUUCUUAUUCAAAUUUGAGAAACGUAUAUUUUGCCAGCGUUUUAAUUAUAAAAAAUUGAACUAUCUAUUAAAACUUCAACAUUUAUAUAAUUAUAGUUUAAACAGUUGUUUUUACAUUCGAAUUGAAUGGAUUGACUGAGAUAAUUUUCCUCAAAUUCUCAAACAAUUUGAGAGUUUUGCAUUUGGAAAAACCUGAGAUCUCGCGCGAGGCGGCGGGAGAUCGAGAGGAUCAGUGUUCGCGUCGAUGAAAACGUAUGUCGUUUCGCACCGACUGCGCCCGUUCACCGAUCAUCGCGUAUCGCCGCGACGGAUCGCCGCCGUAAUCUAAUCCGAUCAAUCGCAGGCGAUCCAUUACCGUAAUCCACUUUGCGCGGCGCGCUUUCUGAUGCAGAUGUUCCUUUCGUCGGUGAAAUAAAGGGUCGUGACGGAGCGAUAUGCAAAUCGCCGGAUUCUCUCUCGCGUUCGCCUCCUACUUCCUAUACGUCAGCUCUACGCUUCGCUUUUUAGCUCCAAGCUCAAUCCUAUCGCAAUUCUAUCACGACGUGUGACGCUCUUCAAAUUCCUAGGUCGAGAGUCAAUCUCGCAUUUGCUGUAUUUAUAAGCGUGACUCCACACUUCUCUCGGAGCUUGCGAGAGACCGGAAGAUGGAGAUGAAAAAAGAAAAAGAGAGAGAGAGAGAGAGAGUAAUAAUUUUGUUCCGUAAGGCUCGAGCGUCGCGCUUGCGUUACGACGGCGAUCACGUUUUACGGCUCCGCGCGCGAUGCAGGCGGAAUAAAAUCGGCGGGAUGUGGUCGGAAUACCUUGCGGCCGGUGCCUUAUUUUGCGGCCGGCGAAAAACCGCAGAGACAAUCGCACGAGAUGACUCGCCGACGUUCGUCCCGCGCAACGUUUUACGAAAUAACGCGCCUCCGCGACGAGCGAGCGCGAAGUCCGCUGCGUCUCUACGUGUCUCUUCGGCCACGACGAUGUGAGACCGGUGAGAGUCCUUCGGAUUACAGAGAACUCGUCUCCAUGUUAAUUAAGAACAAUACUCUGAAAGCCCAAAAGCUGGCAAAAUUUUGAGUGCGCGUUGAAAGAUAAAAAAAGAUAAGGAAGGUAAAAAUGAUAAAGUACUUAAAUUAUACAUAUUUAUGUAUUUUACGUUAUUACGCACAAAUAAGUUGCCUGAUUUCUUCGGGAAAAUUAUCAAGAUUAUCAUUUAUCGAAUGAAAAGAGGCAAAGAUGCAAAAUUUAAUUUUGGAAAUUAUCUAAUCAAACUUAGUCACAUUCUUAAGAUAAGUUCAUGGGCGAUUCUCACAUCCGUAUCUUCUCUAUUGUUCAAAGUUUCAGAUGCAAUAUCGAAACUGUAGCCCAUCAAUCACGUCUACUUGACUGUUGAAAGAGAGCGAUUCGUAAAUUUCGAAAGAGAGAAAUAUAUACAUUUUCUGUUUGUGACGCUUCACCGACUUCUCAUCGUUCGCCGUCACUCGUGGAAAACCCUCGUAACACGAUACGUUGAUUUACCUGAACUGUCUCCCCGCCUGGCUGUCCGUCCGUCCAUCCGUCUGUCAUCGAGAGAGCAGCCCGCGUUUCGGCUUUUCGACUUUCCGACUUUGAUUGACGUUCGAAUCGGUUCAAUCGCUGCCGCGCGCGCGUUUUUAUCCGACUCGAUUGGCGGACCCCGUCGCAUCUGGCGAAGAGAGACGUCCGAUACGCCGUAAUUACGCACCAUCCACUCGCAUUAUCCCACCCCAUUUAUCUGAAAUGAAAGAAGAAAAAGGACGCGAGGAGCGAAAUGCAUUUCGCGAUACGGAACUUUAUAUUUCGUUUGUCAUCAAUUACAAGUGAAAUUACGCCAAAUCGAUCAGACGUUACGUCAAACGCGCGAAAGCUUUUUGGUCUCUUUUAAUAUUCAUCAGUAGCUUCGUGACUAUGCAUAAAUCGUUUCUCGCGGCUCGAUUUUCGGAGAUUGAAAAGACAUCCGACGUGUGGCCAUAAUAGAGACGCCCGCGUACGUGACGUGUAAUUAAAGCUUACAGUCGCGCCGAUUCUGUGCGCGAUCGGGUAUUUGUGAUUGUGUUCCCCCGUGAUGCUGGCAAUUACCGGGAGCUUAGGGCACCGGGCCCCGGAAUAACGCCGCGCCGGUGCUCAAAGGUCGGACCACCCCUGGCCACCCCCUGGCUCUGUCGUGAUGAGAAAGACAGAGAGAGAGAGAGAGAGACGUGUCACGUGCCUGCAAAUAUUCAUAUCCCCCUGGAUACGAAACGAAAGACCGAAGUCUCGGCUGAGGAUGAGGGUAGUUUCGCGUUAGUGAAAUUCACAUUUACAUAGUGAAUUCACAUUAUAAGUGCGAGGAUAAAAAAUAGAAAUUAAAUUGAAAUUAAAAGUAAAAUUAAAAUGAAAAAUCAGAAGAGAAGGAGUAGAUUGUGUGUAAGAAAUUUUUUAAAAUUAACGAUAAUUAAUUUCGAUCCUGCCUCAUUGUUUCUGUACAGUUUCCACCUACGGCAUGAAAAUGUACGCUUUUAUAUGUCUCUUCUCUAUCACUCCUGAAUACAAUUCCUUUUAUUUACGCGGUGUCUGUUAGGAAGGAAAAUGCGAUCCACGACCUUUCCCGUAACAGGACGAACGUGACGGUGGGAAUCGACUCGGAUCGGUCCUUCGCAUCGUCUUCGAGGAACAGGCGGGCCCCGACGUGACGGGUAUACGACUCAAUUGAACUCGAGUCGCUUUCCUCGAGCCCGAUAUAAUCCCGAUAUAAUGCUCGCUCGCGUCCGGGAGCCGCGUUUCAAUUCAAAAACGACACCGAGCGAGCGGCGCGGCGCCGGCACUAAAUCCGGGGACGCGUGUUUGCGCAUGUUUUACAUCGGCGCCCCGUCUGUUUGCAGACAGUAAAUUAUGUCGCACAAUGCCGGCCGAACCCCUUUCUCUCGCGGAUUAUAAAACGGGGAAAAACGGAAAGAGAGUGCCCCCGGAUGCCCUUUUGUCGGCCCGUCAUGGAGAUCGUUGACACCUUAACCGGUCCUUACCCGGCCAACUGGAACACGCCUUUACCUCCACCGAGAAAGGAGAAGCGUUAAAUACAAAGGACUUGCGUCUGCAAUUAUAUGUAUUUCCCAGCUAAACAUCGACAUCACUUUAUCAUUCUUGUUUAAUGAGAAACUUGCACACAUGAGAAAUCCUUUACGGUAAUAAUAAUAAAAAUAUUGCUUACAUGAAAGACUAGUUUAUUAUAAAUCAGUAAUUAGAACAGGAAUAAGAAGUCGAUACACAAAAAAGGUACAGAUAGAGUUGCUACUGACGUUACUCGAAGAGAUGUAAAGAUUAUAAGAUGUAAAACACUCAACUGGAACAAUAAGUCAAAAUGAUAAAAAAAAUGACCAUUAAUAAUUUUAUUUAUGUAAUAUAUAAAGUUCAAUAAUUCAUUCUGGAACCGAACGUCAUCUCGAUGUCACGACGACGACUUUCGUUCCUCUCGGGAUACGUUUAUACGGAUAUUUUGAUCGCGAUACGAGAUCGCUCACAGUAGAGCGGCUGCAGGACAUGAGGAAUCUUCGAUCGUGCUCGAGCCUCUCGUGGUAGGCGUCCCCCUUUAGGGUCGCGCGGGGGUGAGACGUGGCGAAAUUCCACGGGACAACGCUUUUAUCACGACGAGGAAUCCAAUUACUCCGGACGCAGGCGCCGCGACGCUUCUCGGCAGCCAUCGCAACAUCGCCAUGGUUACCAGGGAGGAGACGAGGAGGAGACGUCGCCGUCGCCGUCGGUUAGCGAUCAAUACCGACGCCCGCCGUUGUCUCUUCCUCGUCGUCCUCCUCGCGAGAUUAUUUUCGUUAAAAUCGUACUGGCGACGCAUAAUUCAGAAUUUUGGGACACGCAUUAUCUAUCGAAUUAAAUUAAUUCUAUCUAAUUAUGUUCUGGUGUAUUUCAAGAAUACCUGGAAGUUAAAUAUGUUGAAUUUUAUAGAAGCUUAAGAAUUUUCCAGGAAAAAAUGAGGUGUAAAUAGAGUGCUAAACCUGCGGUCGUAGGUUUCUUAGACUAUACGCGCGAAUUAUAAGUAUGACAAGCGAAGUUAUUAUAAUUGUAUAAUAAUAAAAUUUAUUGCAUGAAAAUUGAGAAAUAAUUUCUCUUUUUGGAAUAACUUUCGCGAAUCUUAUCCUGUCGAUCUCGCUGCUAUUACCAUAUCUGCGUAAAGAGAUCUUCGAGAGAGAGAAAGAGAAGGAGAGAGAAAGAAAUACAUCUAAAAAUUAUUUUCUUGAUAUCAUGAAAAAAUUAGGUACAAAUGCAAAAGCGUUUUCUCCAUUACCUCCAAGCUAGGAUCCUCGAGUGAAGGCACUUUGCUGUCUCGAGGAACCUAGCGGGCUUCUGAAGGGGGUCGGUGCGUGCUCGUGCACAUUAAUAAAAAUUUCACCGGUGGAUGCGUCCGCGGAGAUCUCGCCGCGUGUGCGUGCUCAGGGCGAAUGCGUGCUGUACGGACGACGGGAAGACGGAGCCGUUGACAGGCACGGUCUUCCGGCACAGGUAACUCUUUCGACGCGUACCAACGAAGUCCCGUCUCCCCCUUAUUUGGACUCACUCUCUCCUUUUUCCGGGCCGUCGCCCAGCGGGGCUCUCUUUACGUGUGCCUCCCCCCUUUUAUUUUGAUUUAUUCGACGUUGACUCGCCUCAACGCCCUACGCCGGGCUCGCGCCCCCCGUGCCGUAUCCCGGUGCCCCCGGUGAACGGAUUGUGACUUACGUCAGCGGGACUUCACCGGCGAGGAAGGGCCUUUCUCUCUUUUGUCUAGCGCGCGUUAGCCCUUCCUCGGCGUUGAUACAUUGUAAUAGGACGGAGACGGCCAAAUGGAUGUAACAAUUUAUUUUAUUGUUUUAACUUUAGAUUGCGAAGCUUUAUCAAUAGCUGGAACAGCUAACAGCAUAAAGUGCUUGUUGAUACUAAAAGAUCACUUCUUGCACUUGUAGAGGAACAUUUAUCGGCGGCAUGAAGACGUCGAUACUGAAAUAAAAUGAUUCGUGGUGCGUCGCAUCGACAACCUAUUCCCCGUUAAAAGGGCCCGUCGUAGUUUUUCUCGAUAAAGAUGGAAAUUCGCGGCGUUACCCCAUCACAUUUACCGGGGACGAACGGGUAACACAUGUCGGUGAAUACGGGCGGGGAGAUAGAGACGAUGGGGUUAGAUUCGUACGCUUUUUACCCCAAAAGCGGAGUUUAGCGUCGCGCCGGUCCCGGGGUCGUAAAUCAAACGGCGUAAAAUCAAUUACUACUUAUCGCCUUGUACAAUCGUCGGGGAAAAUUUUCACCCCGGCGAACCUGUCGCCUCGUAGUUUUUUUGUACGUUUUUUUUCUCUUUCUUUUCUUUUUUUGCAAUCGUCCAGAUGUCGUCGCGAUGUGCACGUUCAACUCCCGCGCAUUUUUCAUAAAUACAGAAAAUGUCUCAUUAAUGAGAAAUUAUCACGUUACUUUGGCACGAAAUCUUAACGUGAUGAUUAUGUGUGUCAUUUAUGAUUUUUUAAUAACUAAUUCUGUAUUUAAUAAUAAUAAUUGUUAUAUAAGUAAAAAACGGGCAACACAUAUUGUAUACAUAAAAAUUUAUGUAUAAAAGAUAGAAUAACAUAAUAAAAGAAACGAAAUUACAUCCACGUCGAUCUCGUGUAUCGACACAUCCAAGGAGAUAGAUCAGAAUGCGUUCUCCUUCAAAGGACACCGAAAUAAGAGCUCUCGGAGGAUCGUCCGCCGUCUCAUCUCCUCGUCGAUCGACGAUCUUAUCGAUCUCGAAGUGCAAUAGAUACCCUUAUUCUCUUCUUUCUUUCUCGAGAGGCUCGUCCUCGGGUGACGCGUUCUUCCGGCGAGAGGGAAAAGAAAAGGGAAAGCGAGGCGUGCAACGACGGCAGCAGCGAUCGCGGAUCCUGCCGAUUUCUCGCGCCGUAAAACACGAGUCUUCUCGCUGUCCUGCGCGUGCAGGACUCGCCGAGCUAUUUCGAGACACAAAGGACGCUGCUGGGAUAUCUUUAAGAGGAGCGAAUAGGAAGGUAGCAAAUAAAACACUUAACGGAAUACAUAAGGCAAUAAUAAGAGCUUUAAUAAGAACGGGAACAAAAUAAAAAUAUAUGGAGAAAACGGUUUGCUGAAAUUGGACCACCAAGAUAAUUAUGUAGAACGCUUAAGUACGACGAGCAAUAAAAAAAAAGCAAGAGUUUAGAUACUUCAACAAGUUUGAGUGUCUUUCAUAAUUAUUUUAAUAGUCUAACAAAAUUAUUCUUAAAUCAAUAUCUAUAUAAUUAAAUUUUUUUACUUUUAGCGUUCUUUUUCCGUGUAGAAAUAUUAAUACGGAAAUAAUUAAUGUGAUUUUAAUGACCCAGAAAAGCAAGGUUUAAAAUAUCAAACAAGUAGUUUGAAGAGAUAUUACAUACAUAAUAUUAUAUAUCAAUGUAUAAGGUAUCAUUUGUAAAUCACAAACAUGUUUUUCCGACCGUGGCUUCACGGCCAUUAUUGGCUUGGUUCGAUCACCGCCUUCUGUUUGCCUUUCCCAGACAUACGUAUAAUCUGCCGAUUUUCUCCCGGCGUUUUCGCGCCUUCGCAUUGUCGCGGAACGGGUAAAUAAAACCGGGCGGGAAACCUACGGGAAUCCGCUUAAGUGUCCCAUUUUCGACCGCUGACGUUUUGACGUUUAUCGGCCAACUUUGCGAGAAAGGGUGAACCCUAGCCAUUCUUCAAAGGGCGCAUCUCGAAACGCGCAUCUAAUUUCCCAGAGAUGCGUUUACGAUAAAUCAGUACGAUUCAUCGAAUCUGUGAGGAAAAUGAGUGACCCUCGCAUCUUCGGUGCAAUCACAAUAUAUAAUAAGUUACCGUCAUUAAUCUUAUUACUAAUUAUCGCGACGUCUUCAUCUCAUUCAGCCUUCGGAAAGUAGAAAGAAACUGCGCGCAAAUAUUAAAUUCUUUUCUAUAAAGUUAUCGUGUAUUAAUAUCUUCAUCGAUACCAGGAGUCCCGAUUUCACAAAACGUUCCCCCGAGGAUCUCGAGCACCACCCUCCCCUGAUCGAUCGAAAUCUCGUCAUAUCUGCUGCGUACACACGAGAGAGGGAGAGAGGCGUGCGCAAAAAAAAAACUGUUUUUUAAACGCGCUUCACGAGGAGCGGAUUAGCUCUCUCUCGAUCGCUCGGCUUUCAACGUGCUCGUUUGAGCCUCCGCGGAGGAGGGGGGCAGGGGCCGCGGGGGUGCGGCCGGAGGGCGCGCGGGACUCCGCGCCGUAUUCAUCUCGCCCUUUAAUCCGCUGAUUCCGCUCUCGGCGCAUGACGACGCUAUACGCGUCCCCGGCUCCCGGAUUCGAUGCCAUUCUCCUUUUCUGCGCCGUCCGUCCUUCCACGACGUUACGGGCCAUUCAAUUCGAAUCCCUUUCAGGGAAUUUGUAACGCUAUCCCUGUUUGCCGACAGGACCCGCCCUGGACCUGGCGUUCAGUACGGUCUGCCUGUCCGUCCGUUUCUUUCGCUCGCCCGCGGGACGCUCACGGCACCCGAAAGGUACCCACACAUCUCUGUGCACGUAAUUGCCGAUUAACUUCUUGAUGUGUUGAAGAAAAUUGCGCCCCCGCCGCGCGGAUGUGUGUCGCGGCUAGAGAUUUAUAGGGUGGAGAACUUGAAACUUGAGUCUUUUCUGCUGCAUUAGAAAAUUGUAUUAUACAAACUUGAUUGAUGAUGAUCCGCGAAAUAUUAGGCGAUAUGGCAUACUGUUUAAUCUACGUCAAGUUAUUAUUUUUUACGGUGAGAUUGGUUCUGAGUAAAACCUUGUUUCUGAAGAGAAAGUUUAAAUAGUUUUAAACUUUAUUGAAUAUAUUUGUCAUGGCACUGAAUACUCUAAAAGAUUUUCAACAUGGAUUACUUAAAAAAUCUCACAUUUUUAAACCGUUAGAAUAUCGCAUAAUGAUUAUCUAAAUAUCUAAAUUAAUAACAAUAUUUCUAUAUAAGAAACAUAUCUAGGAUAUUAUUUUUUUAUUAUUAAGAAAUUAAUUUAUUAUUUGCCUCUUCGAUAUAGAUUUUAUUUGUAAUAAGAACAUACAAUGCUUGAUUACUCAUGAAAUAAAGUGUACUAUAAACUUUAAAUUCUUUAUUGAUAAAAUAAGUAGUAUAUUUCCCGAGUGUUGACAUUAUUUUGUUUAUCCCCCGUACACAGAUUUUACUCUCGUUUUUACCCUCUCUCGAUUUUACCCUCACACAGAUUGUACUCUCGUGAAAAAAAAGGACUUUCACAAAAGAAAGUACACGUUUCUCUCCGAAAGCGCGACGUUAUUUGCACUUGCAUGUCUCACGGUUGAAUGACAUUUCACGUGACGUGGAAGUCACGCGGAAUUUCCAAGAGGGAGCGAAAGACAGAUCUGUCGCCAUUCGAGAUCCGCACGGAAAGCGACGUCGCGUCGUUCUUUCGCGACUCUCCUCAGCAUUGGAUUUCUUUCCCCGACGAUAUAUCGAGGAUAUAUCAAUUGACGUCCACUCGUUUGACGGACGGGCACUCGAGCAUACCGAGGUAUAAGGCAGCGUGACGUGGACGUAUCGAUAUUGAUACGUGGCGGCGGCAGCCAGUGAUCGAUAGGCAUUCGCCGCCUCUGAUCCGUGUAAUUCGCGCGCAUAAGAGGAUACCGGGCGGACGGUAUUGUCCGGCUGUCGGCUCCUCCGUUUGCGGAUCUCCCCGCUUGCGCAUUUCUGGAAGCCCCGAAAAACGAGGGGGGAAAAAUGCUACAACGUUGAAGACCUACCUGCGGGUCCCUGCCGACUCUGACGGAGGGUGCAGGCGGCGCUCCUUUCGGUCUUCCGGCUUCCGUCACGCGCGUUCUCGGGCACGAAAACGAUCGCGCCGAAUCGCGAUUUUACGCGAGCGGCCGGGGAUGGUUACCGAAGAAAAAGGAAAAGAUUCCAUUCUGUUCCCGCAAGAAUAAGGCAACAUUUUCGAGUUUACUUACGCGCGUUUGGAGGACGCGUAAAAUUAAUCCGGGGAAAAAAAAGAAAUUGCUCACACACGUCAGAUACUCUUUUAUGUAUUUUACCAGAAUGUAAUUAAUUUUUUCAUAAAAAAAUUUAUAAAUAUCUUUUUCUAACACUAUAUGUUUUAGACAUUGCUCUCAUACUUUGUAUAUUUUGCCAUAAAACGCAGAAACAACCGUUAGAAACUUUUUACCUUACACAUUUAAGUGCGCACGACUAUUUUGAAUUAAAUGGAGUAACUUUGGACCUCUAUUCAAAAAUUAAUAUUUUUUCUGUCGUUGAUUUUCCGGAUUGUCUUGAUAUUUGUACAUUUUGACACAAAACGUAGAAGUCAUUAGAAGUUUUUUAUCUUACAUACAUAUUCACGUGCGCGCGAAUACUUCUUAAUUAAAUUGAUUUGAUUGAUUUAACUUAAUCUUUUGAAAAAAGUGUUUUUCCUAAAUACUUACUAAAACAAAUCAAAUUAAUUUUGUUACGUUCCUCAAGAGUUUGUUACACAUAUCUCCUUCUUUUUUAAAGAAGACUAAAGGAGGAGGAACGUUUCGUUCUAAAGUGCUUCAAUCUCUCGGAUGCACAUUAAGCUCGGCGCGAUAAUCGAGAGCAAAAUUCACAGAGAAAAGAAGCCUGUUGACGCGAGAAGGAACAGUACGGAAAAACUGCAAGGAAAGAAAGAAAAAAAGAGAGAGAGACGAAGAAAAGAGAGAGGCGAGUCUCGAAAUGCAGCUAAGGUGCAGCGCGUAGAUGCAACGACGCGCGUCGUUCAUCGCGGAUUGAAUGGCGACGUUACAUUUCAAUUCGGAGCAAAGAGAGUAGGAGGAGAAGGAAAAGGGGGAGAUAAAGGUGGCAGAAAGUGAGUCCGGCAGGUAGAAGUCCGCCUUUAACGGCCCUAACGGCGUUUCGGAGGUGCCAUUUACACCUCCGCGAAAGCAUCAUCGACGACAGGGGGUUGCAGCGUCGCCCUCGGACUCAUUGUCAGGCCCAGUAGCCAUUGACGAAGCGACUUCCCGUCACGCCAACUGCCCGCUCUCUUUCUCUCUAUCAGCAUCCGCGUCGUUCCUCCUUCCGAGCUCGUUCGAUCUGUCGCACCGUCGCGUGUGUGUAAAACACGAUCGUGCAGCUCCGCGUGGGACUUCUGGCCGACCUAUAUACCGAAUGAUGAAAGAGGACGCGAUGAAAGAGGGUGUAUUUGUAAAGAAAUAACUUUGUGAGAAUUUAUUUGGGAAACGUGACGUUUGGGAUAGAGAUAUACGUUCAUUUUACUAAAGUUAUACCGCGGAUAAGAAAACCUUUUGAAAUUGUGAGAAAUCUGGAUUCCCAAAGUUGUCUUUGAAUUAUAAUUUUUUUUUUAUACGCGAGAGAUAGACGAAAUUAAGAGAUUCGCGGAUAGCUUAAAGACACAUUAUUUUAAAGAUACAUUUGUUUUAUUCUCCAAGCGCGUUAAUACUCAUCAUUCAAGUUGCAACUAAUUAAAUGCGCGCGCAUUUUAUCCUCAUUUUACCGGCCGUAUCUUUAAUUUACGACCUCGGAGCAACAGGGGUAUCCCGAAUCGCUUACAAUGUAGAAGAAGGAGGAAAGGGACGCUUCCGCGGGGAAGCCGAUUUCGGGGAUUGCCCGAGGACGUGCCCGGGGAAGAGCGGACUUCGCGCGAAGUUUAGCACCUAGAAGACAGUUACGAGGCGCAUCUCGGACCGCGGCCGAGCGAAGAACGCUAAUUUCACAGUCGUUUAAAUGGCGAUAACUCAACGAGAUUUACAGCACGACGGGCCGGAGGAUUUCCAGCACGUGUUAGGGCCUGCGGGAACCGGAGCUUGACAUCAUAUUCCAUUAAAGCCGAAACCGGCCGCGGCUUCUCCGCCUCGAUUUUACGAGCGUCUCAUCGUCGAAACGAUAGAGCUUCGCAACCCUUUACAUAAUACUGCGUAAUAAACGUUGCGUCUAUUUUUAAAUACGUAUUUGGAUAAAACGACGACUCGUCAAAGUCUUCUCAUAUCUUUCAAGUGCAAAAAUAUAUCAAAAGAUGUACCUGCAUAGAGGGCCAACGAAGAGUGGUUUAUCUUCAUCAUCCUUGAUAUUUCCAAUGAAAUUAUAGGCUAACAUAUAAAAGUUUUGUCAGCACAAUUAUAAAUAACGGCAAAUUCUUAAUCCUCGCUUAAUGCUACGCGAGAGCGAGAAAACGAAUCGCGACGUGUCGGGUGCUCCACGUCAGAAAUAGAAGAAUUCUCUCGAGAGGGUCUCUCCCGACGUUUCGAAGAAUAGUACUCCGCGAUCGCGUCACUUCCGAUUCUGGGUCGCACGAAUUCCCGGGACACGUGGCCGAUGUCGCGGAAAAGACCCGUGCUUUCUCGCGAGGCGGAAGGAAGUCCCGGGGCAAGUCCCACACCCAUCGCGAUGGAUCGUCGCCGCCGUCAGUUUAACGAGCAGACUCCGGACGCCGUCGUCCAAAUAAACAGCGCGCCAUACGCGCUUUUAUUAUCGACGAAAACGAUAAUUUUAUUGACGACGGCGACGAGGACUGUUUGGAGCAACCCGGGCGGGCGGGCUUGCUUGCGCGCCGCGUACGUAAAGUAAAGCGCUUUGACGAGUGCCGACAACGCCUGACAACCGCCAACAAAGGCCGGAGAGACACUCAAAUCUCGGGUGUCUGGUGAAUCGUACGUUGAUUCCUCGGUCAGCGAGUAAAGCCGUCUUUGAUCUGCCAGAGUUGGCGUACCGAGCGCGGCAAACGACGUGAAAUAUUCUACGGCAAAUCAUUAUUUUACAAUUAUUUUAUUUUACAAUAAACGUACAAGCACACACGUCGUGCUUUCUAAGCCUCGUAGGGUGAAACUGCACUUUGAAAAAAAGUGAUGAUUGAGCUCGUGCAGCGAAAUUUAGAGAGUGCGUCAAUCGUCGUGGGCCUAAGGUAACGUCAAAAUUAGGCGUCUAAGCGAAAGAGAAAGAGGUCGAUACAGGGGUGCGAGGUCACACCCUGACCUCCCACGGCGGGUAGAAACUGGACCGUCGAACUGGACGAUGUCCACUUCUCACAAUUGCCACGAUAACGAAAAUUGGCGGUGCGUCCGUGUCCGGAUGGGCGGUGGUCGGUCUCGCCCAGAGAUUUUUCACCCCCCUUUUCUCCCCCUCCCUCGGCGCGCCUCGCCGUUCUUCUCGGCUUUUACCUGGUAUUACGUCGAAUCCGCGUCCUUUCUGUUCUCGAAAGCGAAAGACGCAGCUGCACUGUAGUUUUCUCUGUACGCCGUAGGAUUUAAUUGACAGACGGGGGCCUCGCCACGGGGCAACCUUGUAUCCACCUUCCGCGCUACCACCCUUCUCGAGUGUGUUCUCGCCCCUCCCUCCUCCCUCCUCUUCUUAUAUAUAAUAUAUAAUUCGAUCAAGCGCCCCGUUGACGCGCCCCGACACUGUUGACAUUUGGUUAUUUUGACGUCACGCUGCGAGACGUCGUUGAUUCAACGAGAAAUAGCGAGACAGGCAGACAGGAUGAGAGAGGAGGAAAGAGAAGGAGAGAUGAGGACCUUUUUCUCGCUAGAACAACCCUUCUAUGGGCCCUCGUGUUUCGGAGACCGCCCGCUGAUGGACCGAGCCACCGUUUCGCUCCAUAAACGUGGCCUGAAGGCGCCCUGAAAUUAACGAAUCCCGGAGUGCAGUCAAGUUCAGGAAUUGUAAAAAGUACAGAAGCUUGUCGUAUCGCCACUUAGCUCGUAGACAGUUUCGUGUAGAAUAUAACCAUUUUGUAGAUCGAAGAGAAGAGCGAGUGAAGCUAACGUUUCGCAAUUCUGAAAUGUUAGGACUUCCUUUAUGUCUUUUUUACGAACCUGUGAUUCCAAUGCGUGUCCAGCGGUUUUACAAACUUAGAAGAAGCGAGCGGAAAUAAACCAGAACGUGGCAAAUAACUGCCGAGUAACUGGAUAGGCUCCUAGUUAUUUGCUACUUAUUAGCUAUGCUCUGUUUUCCUAUUCGAAAAGUUACGGUGCUGAGAUAAACAAGCGUCAGGUAAUUCAGUCAUUAUUAGUAAUAUCUGGUAUAGUUUUAUUUGUAAAAUUUUUUUAUUUUCAAAUCAGAUAAGUGUGAUGUUGUUAUUGACUGCGAAUCUGAUGGUCAAUUAUUAAAUUUGAACGCAGAGGCUUUCUAGACGUUGCGUAAUGCCAUGGACAACGUUGACUCACGCGGAAAAUAUUUGGAAAGUAGGUAUUCAAGAAACGCUUUUGAAUAUUCUCUGCCACAUAGGCUAAGAAAUAAAUUUGCUAAUUUGACUGAAUUUUUCAAAUGUAUUUUUAGUUCGAGUAUUUCGUGUAUAAGUGAAAUACUUAAAGAACAACUUAGCAAAUCAACAACUUUUUUUCCUCAGAUGAGAAUAUUUUUGCAAUUUUACCGUUAAUCUGAAACGGAUGAAUCGCCGCCCUCGCGGAUGAAAGGUUACGCGGAGAUGCGCGGACGAUGACGCCGUUCUUUUUCAUGAACCCGCCUAUGCAGCGAGACGAAUGCGAGACGAUUAAAUCCGCCGGCACGAGUCAUCUCGCGUACAAAAACCCGCUCGCCGUUUUUCCGUCGUCGGACUCGGCUUCACCCUUCGACUUCGUACAAAAGAGAUCGGAACGGGACCUGAUACAAAACGGGGCGGCGAAAUACUUUUCGACAACGAAUCCCCAUAACCGCCGUGAAAUCAUCAAAAAUGAACUAGCUACUUGUUCAAAGAAUAUCAUAAAAUAAUUGAAAAUCAACGGGACCAUUCAUUAUAACAUUGACAUGUGUGUUCGUAAUGAUUUAUUCGUAUUAUGCUCAUAAUUUGUAAAGCAAAUUUUAUCUCUCGGUAGUUUCAGAUUUUCUCAAUAUUAUUCCACAAAGCUUACAGAUGUGUGUAUUUUAUAAAAUAAAAAAUACCAUAAAAAAGUACUGUAAGCUCCGUUCUUGAUUGUAAACCAAGUCCUUUCUUGGCAUUGUAUAUACUUGAAGUAAAUAAAUUCUAAAUUCUAAGUACUGUAAGCUUCUGAGCGCACGAGGGGUGGCACCUAACGCGAGGGGGUGCAUCACCUGGUGAGAUCAUCCAUCACGAGUCGAGAAAAAGGAAGGAGGGCAUACACACACACACAUACAUACAUACACCGGCGAGGGCGAGGGAGUCUGAGCGAAAGGGAUGCAUCCGCAAUUUGUACUCGUCACGUUUUGCGCUGACGCUCUCUGAGAGCUGAAAGGGGUUGCAGCGGGGGUUGCAGCUCCUAAACCUUGUUAUACACCGAAACUAUAUAUUACCAUCGACUAUCUCCUCGACUAUGCGAGGCAACGCGCGCCUGUCCAUUAACUCCUCGUCGUAGGAUAUUAACGUUUUGUAUAUCGCUCAGGGCGGAAGGGAGGACAGGAGGGGAGGGGGAAGAUACGAUCCCGGUUGAACUCGUAAAGCACACCCGGUGUAGUACAAGCCGCCCACGUGGAUUCUUUCCGUUAUGCGAGCCUCCUUUGACCCUUGCAUCGUCGAACGAAGGGUUCAAAUGGCGCAACAGUUUGAGCAACUCUCUUUUAGGGAGAAAAGAAAAUUAAUCCUAAAAUUGUAGAAAUCAAUCUUAACAUGAUUACGGCAAUUUCAUUUUAAUGUGAUUUAAUUCAGUUUACAGAGAGCUAUUAAAGCUGAAAUCUGAAUAGAGAAAUUUAUAUUUAACUUUUAAAUGAAUAAAAUAAAUUUUAAUUUAUCGAUUUAGAUUGGCUUGGAAGUUUCUUAAUUUAUAUUAAUAUUGUAAAAGAAACUUUGACACUAUAAAUGAUGUGUGGUACUCGAUCGCAACAUCUAUUAAAUUGAGUUAAUAAAAAAAUUUAUUAAAAAUUUUUCUCUCUUUUUUUUUGCUUUUCUGAAGUCGAUUCUUUAUGAAGAUUUGAAGAUUAUGAUCUUUAUUUGAUGCAUACUGUAUGUUAAUUACCUGGACCAAGGUCAUUUUUAUUUUACCAUUGCUAUCUGAGAAUCUGCAAAUAAUUAGCUUUAUCUUUUUUUCAAGCAUGUGAUGCCUACUAGUUUCUAGAAGCAAUUCUAAUAGAAGCUAGCAUCACUUUAUUAGAAUUUUUUCAGAGCUAGUGGGCAACAUAAUUUGCCUAUUUGCCCAUUACAAUCAUCACGUUUCGUGCCUCUACUAAUAAGGAAAGGGUGACGAAACGCGCUGCCAUUUGGACGUUUUAAUGCACGCGUAAUUGAGAAACGCGUAAGGGGGCUGAUUAUGGAUGACGCGAAAGGGGUUAUGCCGUACAAAGCGGCACAAAGGUACGGGCCAAGACAAUGGCCUAGCGACAAAGCCGACAGUGAUUAAAACGGGAAUUAGGAAAUUAACGCGGUGCCCCUGGCACCCUAAUCGCGCCUUAUCGUCCUUAUGGCAGCACGUGUCGCUUAAGCUGUCAGCCUCGAUCAUGAAUCUCUGAACUGCAGCGAAGGCCCAACAACUGUCUCCUUCGGUUCGAGUCAGCUUCAAGCGCCGUAAAACUUUGUUUUCCCCUGACUUCGAUAAUUUGUGCGUUCUACAGUGUCUCCCCUGUACCAGCGACCGGGAAGGUUCCCCGGAGGAUCGAUGAAUCGGUCGAUCGAUCAUCCGAUGCGUCUUCUCGGGCGUGUGCCGCAGCCGGAAAUAGAAAGCCCGUUUCGAGUCUCGGUUUCGGUCUCGAUCGUGUUUGUACAAGCUGACCCUCGUAGACCUCUCUGGCGGUAGAGGUCCUCGAAAGGUCCUGGAGGAGCUCCUCGAGAAUAAUCGAGGACGCAGAUGUUUAUUUUGACGCGUCGGCCUCGCGACUUCUCGAGUGCGUAAACGGGCCCGACGACGGCGAGGCACACGCUCGAGUGUCAAGAGCUGCGGAAAUUGUUAAAAGAAUAUUAUAAUAUUAAUAAAUGCCACAUAUAUAGUUUUAUGUUAAAUAUUAAUAUUUAAUUAAUAACAAUUUUAAUAACAAAGGUAAGAAGAAGAGAUGUAAAGGAAAAACAUGCAUUAGCCGAAAAGGAAACAAGAUAAAGUAAAGAAUUAUAUUGAAAUGCUAGAAGUAAAAUUUAUAAUAUUAAUUCAUAUCUUAUAUAUAUAUAUUUAUAUAUAUUAAUAUAAUAGAGAGAUGAUAUAAGAUGGUUAAUUAGCACGAAAAGUGUGAAAGCUCAUUCGCAAAGAUACGUUCGAUUUAAUUAGAGGCGACAGAAGGUCUGCUUGGUUGCAGGAUACGCAGAUAACGUUUUGAAACCGAGGCAAAAUUAAAAUAACAAAGCGCUCUCGAAGCACACGGUCCACGGGCUCGUCCCGAGUAGAUCUGAACGUAACGGCCGAGUAAAUUUGCGCGUCGGGAGGAGCGGAGGGGCGGGAGAUACGACCAGAGGAGAGCACGGAGGAGAACGAGUAAAAAAGAGGGAGGCUGGAGAGCCGUGGAAGAGGAGACGGGGUCGGAGGGGGAGGAGGAGGAGGAUGGACGUGGGGAGGUGAGGAAGCCGUUGAGGCGCGAUCGGCGAUGUUCCCUUUGUGCGGUUUCGCUCGCCGUCGCGGAUCGACGCGAGCGAGAGAAAGAGGAGCCGAGAGGAAGGAGAGAGAAAAGCGAAGGGAACGUCUUCCAGCGAGAAAGAACGUUUCUCCAUUGACGAAGCCAAAGUAACCGUGUAAUCGAGACCGGCCAUGGCGCAGUUUCUGGGCCUUUUCUCUUCUGUCUUCUUCUUCUUUUUUUUUUUUUCGCCAGCGCUUCCUGCCGUCGUGAAAUUCACGUUCCCAGCACGCCCGAUUUCGCACGACCGACGUGACGCGUGAAAACGUGAAUUUUUCCAACGGCCAGACCAUAAGAAAGAAGGAAGCAAGUUAUACCUUAUGCGUGCUUUUUAAAGCGUUUCCAUUUUGUUUUCAUAAAUUUAUUAUAAAUUUAUUAUAAAUAAACACUUGCAUUAAAAGUUUUAGCAGAAUUAUUAAAUUGUACUUAACUUAAUACAUAGUUAUUAAUACGUAAUCUCUUAAGAAGAGGCUCGUAAUCCGAUGUCAGUAAUUAAUUCAAUCAAAGCUUGAAACGCGUCCAUUUAACAUAUACCGACUUGGGAACUCAUCGCAAACGAGUUCGAAUUUUUUUUCCACCUUUCCUCCUGCUUCUUUUUCACUGGUGUCGAUUCAAGACGGCGUAUAAUUCGAUAUCGAUAUCGCAACCCGAUAUCCAGCAGUCGAGUUGCUCGCCGACCACGCGCGUCGUCGGUUCCCUAUAUAACGUUUCCACGCUUGUCUAGGUGUAACGGACUCCGUCAGAGCCGGUUACAACGACAUGAAUUAGUACAUAUAGCUGAUCCUUAGCUCUCCCUCUCUCCCCAGGUAUCGUCCCGUAUUCUUUUCGUAACGUAUUUAGUUCUGGCACAAAAUGUAUGUCUCAAUUAUAUUGGAUUUUGAAAGCUGAAAACAUUGUUGCAAAGGAAACAUCUAUUAAGAAUUAAUCUUUCUAUUUUAGAAUAAUAGUACUCCACACAAAAAAAACGGUUUUAUUAAAGUAUCUAAAAGUUGAACUGGAUCUCAAAAGAAUUUUAUUAAAUUAUUAAAAUAAUUAUGAAAGAUAUUCAAGCAUGAUGAGCAAUGCUGCAAAUACUUGACAUUUUAACAAUCGAUUAAGUCUUACAUGAUUAUUCUGAUGAUUAUUCAAUAAAGUUAUUUUCAGAUCUGUACAUCUAGCUAAAGUACUUUAAUACUUUAGAUAACCGUUACUUUAAUAAAACCGUUCUUUCCGUGUACGAAUCCAUCGUCAAGAAUCCUGAAAAGACAUUUCUUAUGUAAUAAUUAAGUUAUCCCCUCUCGUAAUUAACGUUUCACGAAUUAUCCCAUCGACGAAGGAAGUUCUUGCUCUUUUUAACGGCGGACUGCCCGACGUGCUGGCGAAACAGGAGUUUGACAGGAGUCGGGAGGUCCGUUUGGGAGGAGCACGUGCUAGUCGUCGUUCUACGUGCGCGCUCGCCAGCUGCAAAUAUCCUGGAGAAGUGCACGCACGGGGAAGAAGAAACACGCGGCCCAUCUGGCGCGUGCGUGACCUCCUUGAAUUAUCCUGACGACUUUCGCUGCGUCCAGCCUCCGCAUCCUUGCAUGGUAUUUUCGCUCCGGACGUUAGAACGAAGGACUAACGAUCGGAGCUCUCGAAUUGAGAGCUGAUCGCUAUAUUGGUUCUCUUCUUUGAAUUAAAGAAAGAUUCAUUCUGGUACAGCGGAAUGAUCGUUUGUUUUGCUCGGUUAGCCGCUUAAUAUUGCUACGUGCAAUUUUCAUAAUUUAUUUAACCAAGAAAGAAAAGAAAAAAGAAAGAAAAUCUUUAGUCUCGAUAAAAUUUAAGAUAUUUUACGUUAAAUAAAUAUUUUACAUGAAUAAGAGCCUUUGUUCGCGUAUAGAAAUAAAAAAAUAUUCGCAGCCUCUCCCAGAUUGAAUCUUCUCGCGACCGAGAGCCAGCCCUCUCUCUUCGGGAAACGGGACCCUAUCGAUUAACCAUGCCCUAGGCGGGUAGUCCCGCCCUUCCGCCCUGUUCGCAUCUCCCCGCGGAGCCGUUCCACCCCUCCGGCCACCCCUUCUCGCCGCGCCGAAAAGAGACGGAGGCACCGGGUGUCACAAAAAUAGAGACGACGGGGUGGCUGGCCACCCUUCGGCCGCGCCGACCAAUCGCGCCGCGAGCACGCCUAAUGACGUCAUUCUCGUGCGCCCUUCCUUGUGCCCUACGUAAUUAGCCAAUCCGAUCGCAGGGGUGAGUCGAGUCACCCCUUGGCCGGAUUACGUUUGCGAGCCAAUGAUUUUUGCAGCGCGAUUUGCGUGUUCGUGCGUACGUACGUGCGUGCGUGCGUGCGUGCGUGCAUGAGUGCGUGCGAGUGUCCAGAUUGCAGACGGAGAGACAAGACGGGCACAAUGGGUGUGCCACCCUUCGCGCUCCCUCCACCCUUUUCCUCAGUUCUUUCUUCGUGCUACGCGAGAUUCUUUGUCCCUCGCGUUCCCGUCCCUAUUUACGCCCGUUCCUGCUUUUUUACUUUGGUGCCCUGGAACACAGUUCCCUCGACUCUGCCCCCCUUUCCCCCUCCCUCUCACCCCUGCCGUCCCUGUUUCAGGAUCUCUUGUCGCUCCUCUGGCGUCUCGCGCGCUACAGACAUUAUUUACAUGACAAACGCGGAUCGCGUGCAUCGCGCGCAUAUCGCGUGCACGCCGAAGGAUACCGAUGCCGAAAUUUCGACGGUGCUGGACAUUCCACUUGCGAGGACGAAGCCUCCGAUGAAGCCCCUCUCGAAAAGACUGAGAACUGCAGAAUUGCAUUAAUUAUUAAAUUGCGACGGUUUCAAUCAGCAAAGUAAUUACGGCGCGUUGAACCGCGGAGCAUUCACGGCGAAGUUUGAGGAUUGCAGAAGCACGAGAAAAAUAUAAAGAGAGAAAGAGAGAGAGCCAGAAUGUGAAUGGCUCAAACGUCCAGAAUAAAAACAAUCGUGGAAUGAGGAUGGAAGCCGUCUCGCAACGCUGGCCCGGUCACGCCUGGUCCGUUCGGUAAAACGGGCGUUAUUAGGCCCGUUAACGACGCCAAUAAAUAACGAAAGGCACGGAAGGCUUGCCUACACGCGAUUCAGCACGCUCUCGCUUUCGGAUGGACGGGUGAUAAAGGGUUCGAGCUCCCGUUCGAAUCGGCGAGACGAAUCGCAAACGGCCUCAUGAAUGCAACGCGCGCGACGCUGAUCGACAACACCCCGUGUAAUGCACCAGGUCACGGUGAUUCGAAUUUUAUGUGACUUGUACCAAAAUGUAAAAUCGAUAUGAGAAUAGGUGUAAGUUUUGAAAAAAGCAGAUAUCAACUAAAAUAAUGAGAUAAUAAAUUUAAUUGUUUUGGAUAAUUGAUUUAGAUGUAAUUUAAGUAUCAUUAAAAAUAAAAUUAAUGCUGUUCUUUUUUCUUUAGAAUAAAAUAGAGAAAUGAGUAUCAAGCUGUAGAGCAGCCUGAUUGCUUUAAAUUUCAGAAGUUAA